rnacentral:rRNA from 1 species
GGAUGUGAUCAUACCAGCACUAACGCACCGGAUCCCAUCAGAACUCCGACGUUAAGCGUGCUUGGGCAAAAGUAGUACUAGGAUGGGUGACCCCUGGGAAGUCCUCGUGUUGCAUCCC